rnacentral:rRNA from 1 species
UACAGAGGUCCCAAGCGUUGUUCGGAUUCAUUGGGCGUAAAGGGUGCGUAGGCGGCGCGGUAAGUCGGGUGUGAAAUCCCAGCGCUCAACGCUGGAACUGCCUUCUAGACUGCAAGCCUUGAGGUCAGGAGAGGCGAGUGGAAUUCCGAGUGUAGAGGUGAAAUUCGUAGAUAUUCGGAGGAACACCAGUGGCGAAGGCGACUCGCUGGACUGAUACUGACGCUGAGGUGCGAAAGCGUGGGGAGCAAACAGG